CACGUAGGGUGCGAGCGUUGUCCGGAAUUAUUGGGCGUAAAGAGCUCGUAGGCGGUCUGUCGCGUCGAUCGUGAAAACUUGGGGCUUAACCCUGAGCUUGCGGUCGAUACGGGCAUGACUGGAGUUCGGCAGGGGAGACUGGAAUUCCUGGUGUAGCGGUGAAAUGCGCAGAUAUCAGGAGGAACACCGGUGGCGAAGGCGGGUCUCUGGGCCGAUACUGACGCUGAGGAGCGAAAGCGUGGGGAGCAAACGGG
rnacentral:rRNA from 1 species